UCAUUAGGAGUUUAGUAAAUCAACAGGGGUUGGAAGCUCAAAAGCAAAUACAAUUUAGGAUUUCUGGUAGAGAAUUAGCUUCUGGUUAGGUGCUGAGAAGGAAAGCAGGUAAAAAGCAGAUGAAAGGAGCCAGCCAGUUGUCCGAGGAUGGAUACUCUCCUUGCAUGCUUUUGGCUUCUGCAAUCUUUCUUGUCUCCUGUAUCAGCCAGCAGCCAGGAACCAGAAGCUGCACUGUAUUAUCCCCGCCCAACCCCGAAGCACAUAGGUAUAAAAAGCCAGUAAAACCCCAGCAGGACGUUCAAUCUUUAAAGGUGACUCUGCUGGCCCGGCACCUGCGUGAAAUAAACAGUCUUUUCUGAUACCCGGAGUGCGUGUCACUUGUCCCUUCCUGUGUGCCAAGUAUUUGCUGCAACAUUUUCGUGCAUUGGGAAACCUACAGCCGUGCUGUCCCCUUGCACCAUUGUUGUCUAGAGCCAGCGGGAGCAGGAGCCAGAGCACCAACAUUUCGGCCCGCGACGGGAAGGAAGGUGUGGCACGAGUGGUUUCGCUGAACUCUGACCCUCACCGCCAGAUAAUAGCCAACUGCAGCCACGUUCUCACAGACCCUGGGGGGGAAUUUUCAAAAAUCCUGCCAGGAAGGGACAUCGGAUCAGAUCAUUUUUAAGAAGAUAGCAGAUGAUAAGCCGCCUACAGCCAACACCUGAGAACUCUCCGUAACCAGAAGCCUGAGGAAAUCACCAAGCAAUUUAAAUGAACUAUAACAAAUCAUUCUCUCUCAAAUUUCAUUGUCAUCCCCUACCUGUUUCUCUUUCUAUACUUGUUGCUAUACUCUUUGCUGUAGGGCUUACCCAAGUUACUCCCACAGACUGGCGCCUCAGUCACAAACUCUUGUUAGCUUUCCUCUACUUACUAGUGUCAGGAUGUCUUAUUCUCCUUAGAUGUAUAUGAUCUGAGUUAUGAUUGAUGUCCCCUAUUUGGAAUAAGAAACUGUCAGGAACCUACCCUAACACACAAAAAAAUUUCUCCUACUGUUAAUACUGAGUUCUCUCAUAAGAAUUGAUGUCCCUCCUCAAUGUAAUGAUGACUGUUUCAAGACCAGCACAUGAGCUCCUCCCUUUCCCCUGCCCUGAAUAGCCUAAAACAACCCCUAGGACAGGGAACUACACACAAGGCCUUCACCAAAUACACAUAUCAGCAUGCAAAAUGUUAUCAGUCAGCCUCGCUCUGUUCCCACAAUGAAAAAACUUAUUGGCAAGGAAGAAUUAAAGCAAGACACCUUUCACAGGGAACAAUCAUGUCAUGGAAUCCCAGACAAAUAUGCCUGCUAGGCACAAUAAACCCACUUUGGAUUGUCUGAUGGAGGGGGAGUCCAAGGCCAGGACUGUAAGGAGUCAUCCCAACAGGAGGUACAAAAUUCCAUAAAGCAAACUUCUGGAAAUCUGUCCAGGAGACCCAAACUUCCAAAAAUCAGACUCAGUGGCCCUUAUGACUUUAACUUCUGCUCAUACCAGAUUCUAAAUUCAGCCCAUCAUCUUCUCAACUCCUCUAACCCUAAUUAGCCAAGGACUGUUGGUUUUGUCUCUCUCUAACCCCCUUAUGUUAUGAGGCUGCCCCAGACCCAGGUAAUGUAAUCAAAAUGGCUAUCCCCCGCAACAUGUCAACAGAUAACAUAACUGUCACAAUAGGGCCCAUGGUUACUGAUAUGAAGGUAAUAGGGUGGGCCUCCUUAUGUUUUAAAGACCAGUGGGGAACAACCCCUCUACAUAACUUAACUAACAACCAGUGAAACCAAGCUGAGAUAUACAAACAGAAGCUAUAAUACUCCAGAUGAUGCUCCAGUUGGACUAUUCUAGCUGUCGCUACUCUCCUUUGGAUGGCAAAGAACCCUAGCUGUCACAUUCCUCCCUUCGACGUCCCUGUCCAGCAGGAAGAAGCCAGAACGGUCUUCACCCCUCCUCCCAUGGCCGCAAAGGAUUCCCUGGCCUCCACAAACUGAUUUUCUCUAAGUCUGCUACAGCAGCUUGAGAAUCAAGGGUGGGGUGGGAAUGGGGGGGGGGGUGGGAGGUAGGGAUGAGAAGGAAAGUUGGUAAAAAGCAGAUAAAAAGGGGCAGCCAGAUGUCUGGGGCAGGAUACUCCCCUUGCAUUCUUUUGGCUUCUACAAUCUUGCUUGCCUCUUGUAUCAGCCAGAAGCCAGGAACUGUACUAGCCCCGCCCAACCCGGAAGCACGUAUGUAUAAAAAACCAGUAAAACCAUAGCAGGAUGCACAGUCUUUAAAGGUGACUCUGCUGGCCCAGCACCUGUGCGAAAUAAACAGUCUUUUCUGAUUCCCGGA